CAAGAUAUAGCUAGAAAGAAAGCUUCUCUUUUACACUGAGAAAAGGUCUGUGCAAUUCGGACUGUUUUGA
rnacentral:tRNA from 1 species